rfam:Bacteroides sp. CAG:144 genomic scaffold, scf23
GACUCCGUAGCUCAGCUGGUAGAGCAAAUGACUCUUAAUCAUUGGGUCGAGGGUUCGAGCCCCUCCGGGGUCA